rnacentral:rRNA from 1 species
CCUACGGGAGGCAGCAGUGAGGAAUAUUGGUCAAUGGGCGCGAGCCUGAACCAGCCAAGUCGCGUGAGGGAGGACGGCCCUAUGGGUUGUAAACCUCUUUUGUCAGGGAGCAAUGGGCGUCACGUGUGGCGCCACUGAGAGUACCCGGAGAAAAAGCAUCGGCUAACUCCGUGCCAGCAGCCGCGGUAAUACGGAGGGUGCUAGCGGUAUCCGGAUUUAUUGGGUGUAAAGGGUGCGUAGGCGGAAAGUUAAGUCAGGGGUAAAAUUGAGGGGCUCAACCCCUCCCCGCCAUUGAAACUGGCGUUCUUGAGUGGGAGAGAAGUAUGCGGAAUGCGUGGUGUAGCGGUGAAAUGCAUAGAUAUCACGCAGAACCCCGAUUGCGAAGGCAGCAUGCCGGCUUCCGACUGACGCUGAAGCACGAAAGCGUGGGGAUCGAACAGGAUUAGAUACCCGUGUAGUC